rnacentral:misc_RNA from 1 species
UACAGAGGGUGCAAGCGUUAAUCGGAAUUACUGGGCGUAAAGGGCGCGUAGGUUGUUCAUUAAGUUUGAUGUGAAAACCCUGGGCUUAACCCAGGCCGGGCAUUGAAAACUGAUGAACUAGAGUACUGUAGAGGGUAGUGGAAUUUCCGGUGUAGCGGUGAAAUGCGUAGAGAUCGGAAGGAACACCAGUGGCGAAGGCGGCUACCUGGACAGCUACUGACACUGAGGCGCGAGAGCGUGGGGAGCAAACAGG